GACGAACGCUGGCGGCGUGCUUAACACAUGCAAGUCGAACGAAGUGGCGAACGGGUGAGUAACGCGUAAUCAACCUGCCCUUCAGAGGGGGACAACAGUUGGAAACGACUGCUAAUACCGCAUACUGAAGGAGGGGAUUGCGUCUGAUUAGCUAGUUGGAGGGGUAACGGCCAACCAAGGCGAUGAAUAGUAGCCGGUCUGUGAGGAGGAACGGCCAACUUGGGAUUGAGGCAAGGCCCCGACUCCUACGGGGGGCAGCAGUGGGGGAUCGUCCGAAAUUGACGGAAGUCUGACGGAGCAACGCCGCGUGAGUGAUGACGGCCUUCGGGUUGUAAAGCUCUGUUAAUCGGGACGCGGUACCGGAAUAGAAAGCCACGGCUAACUACGUGCCAGCAGCCGCGGUAAUAC
rnacentral:rRNA from 1 species